AUUUGUUCUACAUAGUCCUUAUCGAUAAUAUUUUGGUGUACUCCAAAAGUAAGAAAAUCAUGUCAAUCACCUCUGAAUUGUACAAUAGACCCUUAAGGAUCAAGAGUUGCAUGCAAAAUUUUCUAAGCAUGAGUUCCAGUUGAGUGUUGUGACUUUCCUUGGAAAUGUUGUUUCUACUGAGGGGGUUAAAGUAGUUUCCCAAAAGAUUGAGGCGGUAAAGAAAUGUCCUAGACCCAUGACUCCAACCAAUAUUAGGAGCUUCUUGGGUUUGGUAGGCUAGUAUAGAAGAUUUAUGGAAAGUUUUUCGUCUAUAGAUAUUCCACUUACAAGAUUGAUUCAGAAGAAGGUAAAGUUUCUAUGGUCUGACUCUUAUGAGAAAGGUUUUAUAAGAUUAAAGGAUCGCUUGACUACUGCCCCUUUCUUGACACUUCCCGAAGGUACUCAGCUGUUUAUUGUGCAUUGUGAUGCAUCUUGAGUAGGACAUUGUUGUGUACUGAUGCAACAUGAAAAGGUGUAGCUUAUGCUUCUAGGCAACUUAAGGUUCACAAUAGAAAUUACCCGACUUAUGAUCUUGAGUUAGCGGCAGUGGUAUUUGUAUUGAAAAUUUAGCAUCACUAUUUGUACGGAGUGCGUGUAGAAAUCUACUUGGAUCACAAUAGUCAGCAAUAUAUAUUCACUCAAAAAGAAUUGAACCUCCAGAAGAGGAGGUGACUUGAAUUUCUAAAAUAUUACAACAUGAGUUUGCACUACCACCCAAGUAAAGUUAACCUCGCUGCUGAUUCUCUUAGCAGGUUGUCCAUGGGGAGUCAAUCUCAUGUUGAGGAAAAAAAGAGAGGCUUUGUGAAGGACAUUCACCAAUUGGAUAAUUUGGGAGUCCGACUUUUGGACUCCAAGGAUAAGAGAAGUGAUUUUCCAUGGAGUGGAUAAGUCAUCCCUUGGGGCCGAAUUUAAGAAGAAAUAGGUUCAUAAUCCCAUACUUAUACAAAUCAAGAUAGACAUGGGCCAGCAAAAGUUUAUGGCUUUCAAAAUUGGGGGAUAUGGUGUUCUAAGGUAUCAAGGGAGAUUUUGUGUUCAUGAUAUAGACGAGCUGCGAGAGAGGAUUUUGACCAAAGCUCAUGUGUCCAAAUAUACAAUUCAUCCCGAUUCAACAAAAAUGCAUCAGAAUUUGAAGGAGAUGUAUUAGUAGAAUAACAUAAAGAGAGAUGUUGCUAAUUUUGUUGCCAAGUGUUUGAAAUGUCAGCAAGUUAAGGUUGAACGCUUGAGAUUGGGUGGAACCUCCCAAGAGGUAUUCUUAUCCAUGUGGAAGUGGGAAAUAAUGAACAUGGAUUUUGUCACCAGUCUUUCAAUGUCCCAAAACCAAUAUGAUUCCAUUUGGGUCAUUCUUGGUAGAAUGACCAAUUUCAUCCAUUUUUUGCUUGUGAGAACUAAUUACUCAAGAGAGGAUUAUGUAUAUUUAGGAGUUAGUUCGGUUGCAUGGGACCUCAGUGUCUAUCAUAUCCUAUUGAGGUACGUAAUUUUCUUCUUUGUUUUGGCAGUCUUUUUAGAAAGGGUUGGGGACUCAGGUGAACCUUAGCGCUGCUUUCCACCCUCAAAGUAAUAGGAAAGCGAAGCGUACUAUUUUAAAUUUAGAAGAUAUGCUAAGAGCCUAUGUGAUUGACUUUAAAGGUAGUUGGGUGGAUCACUUGCCACUUAUUGAGUUUAUCUAUAAUAAUAUUUAUCACUCCAGCAUACAAAUAGCUCCUUGUUAGGCCCUUUAUAGUAGAAGGUGUAGGUCUCUUAUUGGAUAGUAUGAGGUGGGUGAGACUAGAGUUCGGGCCUAAUCUUGUGCAUCAAGCGAUGGAGAAAGUCAUGAUUAUACAAGAGAGACUUAAGACCGCUAAAAUCCGCCAAAAGUCUUAUGCGAAUAUGAGACGAAAAGAGUAAGAAUUCGAGGUUGGCGAUUGGAUGUUCCUAAAAAUCUCUCCUAUGAAGGGAGUUAUGAGGUUUGGGAAAAGGGGGAAGCUCAGUACUUACUAUAUUGGUCCAUAUCAGAUUUUAAAAAGAGUUUGAAAUAUUGCUUAUGGAUUGGAGAAAUAUUGCUUAUGGAUUGGACUUACAGGUGAGCUUGGCAUCGAGUCAUCCUAGGUUUCAUGUGCCCAUGCUCAAGAAAUGUGUAGGUGAUCCUUCCUUGGUAGUGCCCGUAAAGAAUAUUGGUGUGAAGUACUCCCUAUCUUUUGAAUAAGUUCCUACGAAAUCCUGGAUAGACAAGUUUGAAAGUUGUGUACCGAGAAGAUAGUUUCAGUAAAGGUGUUGUGGAGAAAUCAAAGAGCGAAGAAAGCUACUUAGGAGUCAGGGGAUGACAUGAAAGCUAGAUAUCCCUUCUUAUUUCCAUCUUCAGACAAGGUUUCUUGAGGUACGAAUCCUACGCUUAUCCUCAAUCUAUUUGAUUUCAUGUUUUCAGUCCUUUUAUGUUCUUCAUUGCAUCGUAUAAAGUCCUCAUUCAGGGACGAAUGAUCCCAAGGGGGAUAAUGUAAGACCCAAAAAUAAUUUAGAACCUCCAUGCAUCCAAUGUGGUAUAAAUUACAAGUACAUGUAAAAAAAAUCAAACUUUAUAUUUUUGUAGUAUUAAAAGUGAUUUAUAUCUAUUAAGGCCUCAAGCAACUCCAUACUCAUAGACAAGUCAAAACCUCCCUUACCAAUUGAUUUCACGUGAAGUAUCUAGCUGUAGUCAACUUCAAACGACCAUAACUCCUAAAUUAUGAUGUAUUUUUUAGAUCAAGACCCACCAAAUUAUGGAUAUUUGAGCUCGCUUCAACACAUCUAGUUUCUCCUUAAUCCGAUGUUAAAGUAAAAAAGUUAUUUCCAUUUUACUUAAGCCCUGUCAAAGUUGUCAGUGACCCACAACUCAUGGAUUCAACUCAUGAUCCGUGAGUUCAAGUCAUGAGUCGGUCCUAAAAUAUGAAAAAUUGGUCUGAUUUUCAUGCCUUUGAACCACGACCCAUAAGUCUAACCUAUGUCUUGUGAGUUCAAUCCGUGAGUUGUGUCAAUCCAUGAGUUGUAUUCUAAGGGCCAUAAAACUUAUCUGAUUUCCACGGGUUGGAUCCAUGAGUCAUGGACCUAACUCACGGCCCAUGGACCAAGCCAUGGGAACCGUUUCUAAAAAAAAAAAAAUUGAUAAUCUUAGAGGCAUUUUGUUCAUUUUUCUUAUGAGGUCCGACCCUUAUAUGCUUAAAACCUCUUUUGAACAAUUAGUUAUGAUCUUUUCAAAAACAAUAUAAAUAGAAACUCUUCCUCCUCCCCUAAAACAUUCUAAUUAGCAAGAACGCCUAAGGUUCAAGAUUCAGAUUCAAGCUUUGCUUAUCUAAAAGGCAUGUUGAACACUCUCUACUUAUAUUAUUAUCAGAAAGUAUGGAUUUCAACUAUUUUUGUGUAUGUUUUAAUUGGUAAUUUGAAACUAGGGUUGAGAAGAUUGUUGUGAAAAGCCUUAUAUUGAUUUCUUUUCUUAUUUUAUGGGUUUUUCUAGGCAUUAUUAAUGGAUUUUAAGCUGUAAAUAUAUUAUAUAAAAAUGGUGAAAUUUUUAACAUGGAGUCACAACUUUUAAGAUUAUAUGCAUCCAAUUUGCUAAAAAAGAAAAAAAAAACCCUGAACCCCAAACCCCCUCUCUUCUCUGGCGAUUUUUUCUUCUCCCUGCGCUUCUCCUUGGCAGCCCUUUCAUGGCGGCUCAGGCCACUGGGCAGCCUCCUUCUAAGGAUGUCCAGCCCACCCCCGCCCUAAAUUACUCACAUAUUCUACAACCCACCAUACAAAAUCUACCAAAACAAUCCAUUCCCGCAAUCCCUAUAAAACCUAUUAUUUUCCAUCAUGGAGAACCCACAGUGCAGUGGAGUUUGGAUGAACUGCAGCACAUGAUAAUUCAUGAAAAUCUCCAAUAUGCAAUUGUUGGAAAAAAAAUUUAUAGCUGGCCAGAUAUUCAUGAUUUACGGAAGUUGAUUCCAAGCCAAUGUGAAAUAAAAGGAGACUGCAGUAUUGGUUUUCUUUGCAAUCAUCAUGUGCUAAUCAGAUGUACGCAACUUGAAGAUUAUAUUCAACUGCUAUCUAAACCAGCAUACUACAUCAAGGAUAAGCAUAUGUAUCAUCAGAUGAAGCCGCUAAAGUGGGACCCUUGGUUUAACCCGGUGGAAGAGAUGUCAAUUGCGAUGGCAUGGAUUUCUCUUCCUACUUUACCACCUCAUUAUUUUGUGAAGGAGGCACUUUUUUCUUUAUCUUCUACUGUAGUUAAGCCACUCCAAGUUGAUUUAGCUACAAAAAAUAAAAUGCGGCAAAGUUGUGCACGUGUAAAGGUGGAAGUUGAUUUGCUGGCAUAUUACCCAAAGAGAGUCCAAAUCUAAUGUGUUAAUCCUUCUACUGGAGAAAUAAGGUCCAAGUGGAUAAAAAUUAAAUAUGAUUUUAUGCCAAAGUAUUGCAAACAUUGUUGUUUGCAGGGACAUGACGAAGAGGGGGGUGUAGAGUUCUUCACCCUGGACAUAUUUCGAUUGAGAAGGAACAAGAAGAUGGUGAUAGUGUCAAGCAAACUGAUCAACAUGCUGCUGCUGGACACAUUGAUCAGGUGACAGAAAAAAAUCAAGCAAUUACUGGUGCAAAUCCAAAUCGAGGUUAAGGAUAACCUGUUAUGAACGGGAAAAAUUCUAAUGCUCCAAUUAGAAUUUUAUCGAGCGACAAGGUUGUUGGGAAUAUUCAAAAGACCUGGCAAUGGAGUAAAGGCCAAACUCAACCCACUUUGGUUGAUAAUAGCAUAAAUCAAAAUUUAAAAAGUGGAAAUAGUGUAGUUACAAGAAAGGAACUGGAAGUUGGUAAGGGACCAGGUGCGCCCCUUCAAACUUUAAACAAAUAUGCUGCUUUGGGGAAUGGCAAUGGAGAGAAUAAUCAACUAGAUGAGGUGCCACACAAAAUUGUUACAGCUGAAGCAGUUCAUACUACUAACGCAAGUAAUGUGGAUAAGAAUUUAAAUGCAAAUGCCUCUGUGCUUAAGCCAAGAAAUACAACUGGUUCUCCUUCUAAGGAGAAGAGCACUAAAGAGUGGCUAACUUCUACCUUUGCCAAAGAAAAUGGGGGUCAAUUGGUUACUACUAACCAGUCUUGCCAAGAAAUCCCGUCUCAAACAUAUGAGACGACCACAAAGGAAGGAGACAAGGAAAUAGAAGAAGGUGAAGUACAUGAUCGUAAUGUUGAUGAACAUGGCGAUGAUCAGAAUCAAAUAAAUAGUCAGGUUAAAGGUGUUGAUACCAGCCACAAAAUGCUAUAAGCAGCAGCGUUAGUUUCAGGGGCGACAGUGAAAGAACCUGAAAUAAUUUCCAAGGAAGAUGCAGGUGCGAAUCCGAUAGUGCAGCAAGAUGAUAUAAUUGUUACUACGAAUGCAGCUGGUCAUGAGAAUGAGAAGGAAGCAAAGACGACUGAUUUUAAUAAUGUUGUUGAAGUGCUACCAGAUGCUCCAGAUUGUGAGGACCCUCGGUUUGUGAAGCGUGAUGCUAAAAAUUCAAAUAAGAAGGGGAAGGGGAAAAAUAGCAGUAACAAUAACCAGGAAAAGUCGGGCAAAACAGAAUUGACAAAGCAAUUCCAAGAAAUCUCAGGGAUAGCUUGUUUCACCUAACGUUACUCUUCCAGUUAUUUCAGAGUGCUAGGCCAGGGAAUGAAGAUAACGAAUUUACAGGCAUUGAUUGAGAUGAGGAAUCCACCGCUCAAAAUUUCCAAAAUAUUGCUAGGGAAGGGGAUUUAUCUCCGAGGCAAAUAGAGAAAGGAAAAUCUGGUGGUAAACAAAGGAAAAAGCAAAGAGACAGCAACGUACCAACUUCAGGUAUGCAAACGAGGAGAAGUACAUCUAAAUCCAAUAUGUAGCUAUGAAUAACGCUCUUAUUUGGAAUAUUAGAUCAGUACACACUAAUAAAGCUUUUAAAAGGCAUAAAAAGUACCAGUUUUAUCUCAUUGGUUUGUUAGAACCCUUUCAACAUGCCCAUAAAAUUGAGAAGUACAGGAGGAGGUUGGGGAUACCUACUGCUUUGUCAAAUAUUAAUGGGAAAAUAUGGACUUUUGUGGAUGAGAAUUGCAAGGUGACAGUGCUCAUGGAUAUGGAGUAGCAACUUUCAUUGAAGUUAUUCAAUAAUGAACUCGGCAAGCAGAUAAUAAUUACACUUAUUUACGCAAAGUGUGAUUCGGUGGAGCGGUUGCUUUGUGGGAUUCACUGCAUUUGUUGGGAUCUGGUAUGAGUGAUCCUUGGCUAGUCGCAGGUGAUUUUAAUGUCAUUGUUGAUGAGGAGGAAAAAUAUGGAGGGCUCCCAGUAUCCAUCGGUGAAGUAGAAGAUUUUAGGUACUGCAUUCAAAUAUGUAAUUUAUCUAAUUUGGGCUUCAAGGGAAACAUUUUUUACAUGGUGGAAUGGUCGGACAAACGAAGCUUGUAUUUUUAAGAGAUUGGAUAGGUGCUUGGGUAAUUUUGAAUUCCAACAGAUAUUUUCGGGAUGUGAUGUGACUCACCUGAUUAGAUUUGGCUCGGAUCACUCUCCGUUAUUGCUUGAGUGCAAGGUUAACAGUCCACAAAUUAAUAAAUCAUUCAAAUUUCUAAAUUUUUGGACAACUCACGGGAGCUUUCUGGAUGUGGUGCGUCAAAACUGGAAUUCUGAAUUUGUGGGUAAUCCUUUUGUUCAGUUUAAUCUGAAGUUGAAGAAUAUGAAGAAAAUUCUAUCAAGUUGGAGCAAAGCAACCUACGGAGACAUCUUUCAGAAAAUUGCUAAUAUGGAGGAUGUGAUCAAGGUUCUGGAAGUUCAAUUCGAACUCGAUCCUUCACAGCAGAAUAGACAGAGUUUGUUAAAGGCCCAAGUAGAAUUGACUAGAGUGAUGCAUAUUGAAGAUGAAUUUUGGAAGCAAAAAUAAAAUAUGAGUUGGUUUCAAGAGGGCGACAGGAAUUCUAGAUUCUUUCAUGCACAAGUGAAUGGCAGAAGAAGAAGGAUGCAGAUAAAGAGAAUCCAACAAGAUGGUCAGUGGCUAGAAUCAACUGAGGAAGUAGCCGCUGCUGCUGUGAUUUUUUUCCAAAAAAAAUUCAUAGAAGAAAGCGUUCCAUCAGACUUUGAUAUUCUAAAACAUGUCCCUGGCAUGAUCAACAUAGAGCAAAAUGAAGAUCUGGUUGCCUGGCCAACGAAUAAAGAAGUCAAGAAUGUAGUUUUUGGCUUGAAUGGUGAUAGCGCUGGAGGUCCUGAUGGUUAUACUGGAAAAUUCUUCCAAUGUUUCUGGGAAAUAGUAAGAGACGAUGUGUGCGCAAUAGUUGCGGAAUUUUUUGGAGGUCGGCAGCUGCCUAGAUUUAUUACUCACACGAAUCUUGCAUUGCUACCAAAGAAGAAGGAGGUGAUCACAUUCUCUGACAUGAGGCCAAUAAGCCUAAGCAACUUCAUCAACAAAAUCUUUUCAAGAGUAAUUCAUGAUAAAUUAGUUGGCGUUUUACCCAAGUUGAUAUCUUCCAAUCAUGCCGUCUUUGUGAAGGGCAGAAGCAUUGUAGAGAACAUCUUACUUGCCCAAGAGAUAGUCACCAACAUCAAAUUGAGGACAAAGGCAGGGCCUAAUGUAGUCAUAAAGCUUGAUAUGCAGAAAGCCUAUGACAGAUUAUCGUGGUUUUUCUUAACGAAAGCUCUAAGGAAGAUGGGGUUCAGCGAGAGGUUUAUCGGCAUGAUUUGUGAUAUAGUGAGUAACAAUUGGUACUCUAUUUUGGUAAAUAGGCAUCCGUAUGGUUUCUUUAAAUCUUUCAGGGGAGGGGAGUAAUAUAGGGGGAUCCGCUGUCUCCCACAUUAUUUAUUUAGCUGCGGAGGUAAUGUCUAGGGGUCUGAAUUCUCCGCAUAGUGAUUUGUAUUUUUGCGGCUUUUGUCUUCCUAAAUGGAGUCCAAAAAUUAAUCACCUAGCUUAUGCAGACGACACCAUCAUUUUGUCUUCUUCCUGCCCUAUUUCCUUACAGUUGAUUAUAGAGGUGCUCACAGAGUAUGAGAAGGCCUUUGGGCAGAAAGUCAACAAGGAGAAAAGUCUAGUAUAUAUGCAUCACUUGGCGGAUCCUGUAGUGAUGGAAAGGGUGCAGCUUGUUACCGGGAUUAGUAGAUAGGAAUUUCCUUUGACAUACUUAGGAUGUCCAAUUUUUUAUAGCAAGCAAAACAUAUCAUUUUACUCGGUCCUUAUUCAAAAAGUGCUGGGUAGAUUGCUAUUCUCGAAAGGGAAAUUACUUUCUCACGGGAGAAGAGCAGUUCUUAUUUCUCAUGUGUGACAAAGCAUGCUGAUUCAUUUGUUAUCGGUCGUCGACCCUCCUGAUUAUGUAAUUGAAAAAUUACAUAAGAUUUUUGCUCAAUUCUUUUGGAGCAACUCGGUGGGCGAUAGAAGCAGUCAUUGGGCAAAAUGGUUGGAGCUGUGUUGGCCACAGAAUAAAGGCGGCUUGGGGUUCAGGUCCAUGUUCGAUGUGUCAAAGGCUUUAUUUGCCAAAUUGUGGUGUAAAUUUAGGAUGAAACCAUCCUUGUGGAGCGCUUUCAUGAGUAACAAAUAUUCUAAGAAGAUUAAUCCGGUAAUUGUAUUAUGGAAGGAAGGGUCACACGUUUGGAGGAAAAUGUUGGAAGCUAGGGAUUUGAUUGAGCAUCAGAUUUAUUGGAAGCCUAGGAUGGGAUCUUCUCAAUUUUGGUUUGAUAAUUGGAUGGGGCUUGGAGCAUUAUAUCACGUCACUUCAUCUGAUUUUUAUUAUGAUGAGUCGAUUCUUAAUGUGGCUAUUGUCGUUAGUGAUAACAGGUGGAACGAACAAUUGUUGAGGAAUAUUUUGCCUGCUGAUUUAGCUGAAUACAUAAUAGAAAAUAUCCAAGUUCCAUCAUAGUUGCAGGAACUGGAUACACCAUACUGGAUGCUCGAGACUAUCGGAGAAUUCUCUGUAAAAUCUGCUUGGGAUUAUAUUAGAUUGAGGGGUGUAAAAUCUAAUAUAUACAAGUACAUGUGGAUAAAGGAGAUGCCUUAUAAAAUCGCAUUCAUGAUGUGGAGAUCGUGGAAGUUUAAAAUUCCAUUGGACGAUGGCGUGAAGAAUAUUGGAUUUAGCUUGGCGUCAAGGUAUUUCCAUUGGAGGACUACAACUUCAACAGGUUAUUCUUAAAUGGUGAGAUGCUCCUGUUCUUCCAAGACUCCAACCAAUCUUUUGCGCAGUUUCGACCAUAAUCAUUUGGGAGCUGUGGAAGAAAAGAAAUAGCAACAAGCACGGAGAGAAGGUGACUGUCAAUAGAAUUAUCUACCAGGUUUAUCACACCCUUCAGAUGCUUGUCAAGGUAGAAAACCAUCAAUCAAGCAGGUUCCACAUAGAUGGCCAGACAUAAUCCGAGUCUUGGAAAAAUUUAUGCCAGCGUUGAAGGUUACUCAGGUGCGUUGGAAUCUACCUCCGAAUAAUUGGUUAAAAUACAAUAUGGAUGGCGUCUCCAGAGGUAAUCCAGGUAGAAUUUCCUAUGCAUUUUGUAUUAGAGAUCCUCUUGGUGAUUUGAUAUAUGCAGAAGCUAAGGAAAUUGCGGAAGGCACAAACACAUUUUAGAGAUUAUUGCAAUUUUGGAGGCCGCUCGAUAUUGCGUAGCUCAUAAUGUGUUCAAUUUGAUAUUAGAAACUGAUUCUCUGUUCCUAAAAAACAUAAUUACGGGUACCUGGAAGCCGCCAUGGAGUGUAACUGCGGAACUAGAAGAAAUAGGUGAGCUACUGGAGAAUCUAAACAUCCAAGUAACUCAUAUUAUGAGGGAAGACAACCAGCUUGUGGACUACUUGGUAAAUAGUGCACUAGAACGUGGCGACAUUAUAGUGCACUUAUUCAACGAGCUGGACUCGCAAGGAAGGAAGAUAAUUAAUAGCGACAAGUUUCAAUGUCCAUAUUUAUGAGUACGCGCUGCAAGAAAAGGAUGAUGGAGUGGAGAUACUAUUUUAUGGGGUUGUGCUACUGUGUUAACCCCAUAAUGAUGUUCGCGAGAUAGAAAUCAGUUGUACAUCGUGUUAAUAUCUAGACGAGGAAAAUUGAUAACUCGGUGGUUGAUUUAUACUCGUUUAGCUCAAGUUAACAAGCUGCAAGCGGAAUAGACAUUUCUACCAGGGUUUUAGUUACCGAGAUAGUGCGUAGAAGUUUGGAGUGUGGCUCGAUAUGCCUUGCAGAGAAAUGGUGUGGUAAGAGGAGAAGGAUGGAGAAAGUAAUGUAUCGACAUGUUAAGGAGGAGAGCAUGGAGAUGAACUUUAUUUCUAACAUCAUUUUCUUCCUUGCAGGUUACAAUAUGCUACGCAAAUUUUAUUUUUUAAUUAUUUCUUAAUGUGUGGUAUUAGCAUUUGCUGUUCAUUCCAUUGAGAAAAUAUUAAUAAAUGGAAUUAGCAUAGCUUGGAAAUGCAAAUUCAUCCUUUUUCUGGUGA